UAAAAUUAAGCUCCUGGGCCUAGUAUCAUUCUGACGGGGCCGGUGAGCAGGCUAGCUGGCUGUCUGGCUGUGCAGCUGGGGAGAUGGGCUUCAGGUGGCAGGACAGGAGGCAUGUGCCCUGGGCUGGCCUUCAGGUCACAGGAGCGAGAGAGCUGCUGCAGGUCAUAGGAAGAGGGAUGGUGUGCCCCUCUGUUGGUGCCAUGGAGCCCAGGGGCACCCAUUCGGAGCGACUGUGCUUCUUCCCACAGUGGGAAGGUUCUCCCAAUGACUACUCCUGGAAGAGGUGGCAGGGGAAAGAAUGCCUCAGGAAAUGAAGUGACCCGCAGAUAAGUCCCGCAUGCGGCUCUGUUUCCACCCCCUGGGAAAGAUUCCGCAUUCUUUCAAGAAGUGCCUCCAGCAGGGAAUCAUUGGUCAUAGAGGGAAGGCCUGGUGCUCAAGCGCAGUUUCCACUUGGAGGAAAUGGGAACAGACUCCCCUUAUAAGCCAGCCUGCUCACUGCCUGCGCAGCAGACCCCGUUCAGAGCUGGGAUUCUUCUAGAAAUCCUUUUGAGUGGACAAGGAAACAUGGAUUCGCUAAGGCCAGGAUGUCUCCCCAGCGUCACCCGAGCAGGACAAGAGGUUUCCGCUCGCGGUAGUUGGUGGCUCGUGCGCUCCUCACCGAGCGCUUAUCAGGUGUCUCCUGUGGGCUCAGAGUUGUGCAAAGUCUUGAAAAAUGAAGUGCUAGCUCAUAGUCCUGAUUUCAGCAAGUCCGGUUGGUAGGCUGGCGGCUGAGGCCUCCUCUGGUGUGGUUCACUGCAAAGGACAAUAAUCUGCUUAGAAGCCAUAGACCCACCAGCCGUGCUACGACCCUCUUGGGGGAGUUCUCUGAAGAAGUCCAAAUGGCAAAUGCCUGGCUGAGAUGGCUGAACACACACCCUGGAGCCAGAUCACAUUCAGAGGAAUCACUGUUUUCCAAACCUGCUUUGGCUUCCUUCCAAUCUGAAGCCAGCUCUGACAUUCUGUCUUGCUGUUUCCUGUUGUGGGCGGAUUGAUUUA